rnacentral:rRNA from 2 species
CACACGGGAAGCGAGACACGGUCCAGGCUCCUACGGGAGGCAGCAGUGGGGAAUAUUGGACAAUGGGGGAAAGCCUGAUCCAGCCAUGCCGCGUGUGUGAAGAAGGUCUUCGGAUUGUAAAGCACUUUAAGUUGGGAGGAAGGGCAUUAACCUAAUACGUUAGUGUUUUGACGUUACCGACAGAAUAAGCACCGGCUAAC